AGCUCCCACCAAACUCCAUACAGAAAAUCACCUUUUCUAACACUUUGAUCUUCAGUGUGAGAGAACGAUCCGCAGCAGUGAGAGCACCUGAAUCUUCAUCACUGCAGCUGAUAAAGGAGCCUUCGCACAGAUGACUGACACCGAUCAAACACUAACAUCAUGCAGGAACCGGAUGUGAACGAUGAGAAUGAUGCUGAUGCUGAUGAAUCUCCAUUAACGAGAUAAACCACGGUGUGAUGGCUGCUGCCUGAAACCUGCAGCUCCGGCGCUAACGUGUGUUCAGGAUCCCGCUGUUCUCGGUGAAGCUGCAGAUAUUUUUACAUCACAUGAAAAACAUUUCAUCAGCUGAAAACCAGAAUUAAAGGUUCAGACGCAUCUCUCCUCUGAUUGGACGGCGGCUCUGAGCACAGCUGGAGGUUCGGCAGGUACAGAACACACCAGAGCAGCGGACUGGGUCAGUGAUUGGUUUGGUGAAGCUGUUCAGUCCGGAUGUGCUUCAGUCUGAACCGUCGCAUCAAAUCAGUUUAUUUUCACCAAAAUAAAAGAUGAAAAGCUGAAACAUCUGCACAGAUGUUCGGUUCUGACGCAGAAAUGAAUGUGAUGUCUGUCACACUGAGGUUUCCUCUGAGCUCAGACCCAAAGCCUGACACCUGAUCAGCAGGUCCCAGACCCGGGCGCCGCCGGAGCCCAGCACCAGAGAAAGAAACCAGUCAUUACAGCCACAGUCCAAACACCAAUGAUUCAUCUGUCUGUCAGU